UUUGGACAAGUGAGAGAUAUAUUCCCUAUUGGUUUGAUCGCCAGAAUGAUGGCAAAAAUCAUGUAUAUGCUCUAUUUGAUCCUUU
rfam:Daucus carota subsp. sativus cultivar DH1 chromosome 3, whole genome shotgun sequence.